rnacentral:rRNA from 1 species
UACGAGGGGAGCAAGCGUUGUUCGGAUUUACUGGGCGUAAAGGGCGCGUAGGCGGUCGUGACAAGUCACUUGUGAAAUCUCCGGGCUUAACUCGGAACGGUCAAGUGAUACUGUCGGACUAGAGUACAGAAGGGGCAACUGGAAUUCUCGGUGUAGCGGUGAAAUGCGUAGAUAUCGAGAGGAACACCUGCGGCGAAGGCGGGUUGCUGGGCUGAUACUGACGCUGAUGCGCGAAAGCCGGGGGAGCGAACGGG